AGCGCGGCUCCGCUCGGCUCCUGUGCGGCUGCCGCGGGGCCGGGGCCGGCAGCGAUGUUGGCCGGGCCGGGGCCGGGGCUGCUGGCCUUGGCCUUGGCCUUGUGGCCGGCAGGGCUCUGGGCACAGCCGAGGCUGCAGGAGGCCGGCGGAGGGCAGCGAGCGCCCGGGGACUCUGUCACCCUCUCCUGCCACGGCUCCGGAUUUACCUUUGAGUAUUAUGACAUUUAUUGGUACCGUCAGUUCCCCGGAGGCAUCCCAGAGUGGGUGUCCUGCAUCAGCUACUCGGGUGAUGUAAAGAGGUACGGGGCAGCAGUGCAGGGUCGGGCCACAGCCUCACGGGACAAUUCCCAGUUUCAGUCGUCUCUGGUUUUGGGGGCUCUGCACCCCAGCGACUCUGCCCGCUACUUCUGUGCCAUACACACAGACACAGGAAACCCAGCUGAGCUGCAACACAAACCCCCGGGGGCCUGGCAUGGGGUGUGUUAGACGGAGUGAAUGUCAGAGUCAUCAGGAGCCUGGAGCUGAUGGGUCUCAGGUGUGUUACCAAGGAAUCAGAUCAAAGGCAGGUGUUCCUGGCUUUAACUGCACACUGCCAGGAUUCCAGUUUGUUGUCAAAUUAAAACAGAGU